GGAAGCUUCUGCGACUACUGUUGGUUGGGCCAAGGCAAUCCUGAAUCUCAUGACCACUUUGAGCAACAUGGAUUUGUGAGCAUUCACUACAAGCAUGGACAGGAACAUAGUGGAGUAGUUGUGCAAGUCCUUUAAUCAAAAGUUUCCAAUCAUCUAACAAUUCGUAAGCCGCGGGAACUAGGCUAGGCACAAGCAAUCCAUUCUUAGGGGGUUCAAGCUUCUUUUCUAUUCCAAACUCAGCCAACUUCUUAUCAGCCUUCGCAGCCUGCUGAAUUUUCUUCAGAGGUAUAGGAUAUGGCUUCUUCUUUUGCUUAGGCAGGACCAGGGGAAGAUCCACAUUCUGCUGCACAGGUUCA
rnacentral:misc_RNA from 1 species